GAUGAACGCUGGCGGCGUGCCUAAUACAUGCAAGUCGAGCGAACAGACGAGGAGCUUGCUCCUCUGACGUUAGCGGCGGACGGGUGAGUAACACGUGGAUAACCUACCUAUAAGACUGGGAUAACUUCGGGAAACCGGAGCUAAUACCGGAUAAUAUAUUGAACCGCAUGGUUCAAUAGUGAAAGACGGUUUUGCUGUCACUUAUAGAUGGAUCCGCGCCGCAUUAGCUAGUUGGUAAGGUAACGGCUUACCAAGGCGACGAUGCGUAGCCGACCUGAGAGGGUGAUCGGCCCCACUGGAACUGGGACACGGUCCAGACUCCUACGGGAGGCAGCAGUAGGGAAUCUUCCGCAAUGGGCGAAAGCCUGACGGAGCAACGCCGCGUGAGUGAUGAAGGUCUUCGGAUCGUAAAACUCUGUUAUUAGGGAAGAACAAAUGUGUAAGUAACUAUGCACGUCUUGACGGUACCUAAUCAGAAAGCCACGGCUAACUACGUG
rnacentral:rRNA from 1 species